UCAUGUAACACCCCGAUUUUCGCUAGGAUUAUUUAUUUAUUAUAUUUGUUUAAUUGCUUGUUUGAUGUGUUUGAUUGAGAUUUAGUAGAUUUUUAGACUAGAGGGGUAUUUUGAUCAUUUUAUGACUAAUGUCAUUUUUGAUAAUUUUAGAAUGAAGGGUAUUAUAGUAAUUUUGGGUGUGUGAGGUUAUCUAAUGAAGUUAAUAGUAACUUUGGCAUAAUUAUUAAGAUAGUGGUGUAUGAGUAUUUGGUAGAAGGGUAUUUUAGUAAUUGAUAGAUGAAGGUAAACCUAAGUAUAAAAGGAGGAUUUAGAGGGAGAAGUAGUCAUUUUUUAUAAAAAUUGAGAAAUGAGGUAGAGAGGAGAAAAGAAGAGAUCGAAGAAGAGAGAAAGAAAAGGUUUUGGGAAAGUUAGAGAGGAAGAACAACAAGAUUAACAAAGGAGAGGAACUCAAUGAUUCAUCAAGCCAAGUUAUCAUCAUUUCUCCAAUUCUAGAGUUUCUCAGGUGUUGCGUUUUGGUGUUCGUGUUCCGGUGUAGCCUCGCUCUGAUUUGGACACAUAGGGAGGGUGUAUAGUAUUUCAAUUUUUUUUUAUAUGGUCUAGGUUAAGACAUAAAAAUGUAUAAGCCACUGGUAAAAGAUUUUCAUCUAGUGCAUGUGUAUACUAAUUAAAUUUAUAGCAAUGUAAUUUGGGAAUAGUAAUACCCUAAUUCAUAAUAUUCAUCUAUCUCCAUCCUUAAUUAUUAAUCAAUAAAGUUUUAUUUUUAUCCGCUGCGAAAAUUUUAAAACAAUCCUCUUAUAAAACUAGAGUAAUACGAGUAUUCAGGUUAGGGUGUUACAAAGUGGUAUCAGAGCCCCGUUGGUCCAAUCGGACUAUGUGGGCUAGGUGUGUGUUAUGUGUCGAUCAGAGCAGGUCUGUUGAGUCAGGCCAAGUGUGCAUUGAGUCGGUUGUGUUUGUUUAUCGGUUGAUCUUUUGAUCUUUUUAUGAGUUAAUUGUUGUUUACACUUGCACCUUAGUCAUUUAGUUAUCUUGCAAGUUGGUGAAUUGCUUUAUGAUGUUCGUUGUUAUUUUCUUCAUGACAUGUUGCUUUACUCGAUUCUCGAUGUUGUGUUUUAAUUAGUAAUGAGAUUAGAAUUAAUAAAACCUUGUUGAAAAUCCAGAUUCUUUUCUCUUGAAUAAUUGAAUACUAAUUUUUGUAUAAAAUUAGGAAGAGUAAAAUAUUAAUAGUGAAAUUAAGUGAGCUUUAAAAUGUGCAUGAUAUACGUCGUCAUGUUUUCCGAAAAGUUGAUAAAUGAUGUUGUCUUUCUUUUGACGGAUUUUGAAAAGUGAUGUAAAUUUAAAUGUGAGUGAUUCAUUUUCUUAAGUGUUCUUUUUAGUCAUCACAUGAUUUUGAAUACAACGUUUUGUUAUGAGUAUGUUAGUAUGAUAAAGAGAGUUAUGCCACAAUCAUGAUUAUCGGCAGCCUAUUAGCAAAUUAAGGAUCUGAUCACCCUUAAUCUGUUGUUAAUAGUAGACGGAAUCAUGUUGACUGGAGUAAACUAAUUUUGUCAAACUUUAGUAGCAUGUAGAGUUUGCUACGAAAUAAGAAAUGAUUUGUUAUGAAAAAUGUGAUUUUUUUUUUUUAUGUACUAAUCAUGUUUUGUGAAUUCGAAAUUUUGUGGUGAUUGUAUAUGAUGUUAUAAAUAAUUUUGUGUUGCUUUGUUGUUUGAUACUAAAACAUGUUUAGGGAUAUGCUAGUUGUGUGAGUGUGUACGAAUUUAUUGAUGUCUGUGUUAUUAGUAUGUAAGUUUGUGGUUUUAUGAAGUUGAUAUCAGUCUUAUUUAUGUUCAUGCUAUGAAUUACUUGCUAGAUGUGUUGUUUUUGUUUCCUAAUAUUAUAACAUGUCCGGUGUAUAUGCUUUUCUGUGUUGCAUGCUUUUGAAUGUACCGUUUCCUUCAUGCGGGCUUAGGCCUAUGUUCCAGGAGUUUUGUUUUCGUAAAUAUGGUAUGUGAUCUAUUUUAUUAUGCAUGAUAGAAUUCCUAGUAUUUUAUUGAUGUUGUGUCUAGGUAACUCCUUCAUGAUGAAUUGUCUUUAUUGAGUUGAAUUUGGUUUUCAAUUGUUUUGAAAAACCAGAGAAGUAUGGUUUAGAGGGAAUGAAUGUCGUCAGUAGAGUUUACCGUUAAUACCUUAAAUAAAGAGUCGAAACCAGACUCUGAUACCUAGUUGACCUUUUGGGAGAAUUACGAUAUUAAUAGAAUUUGGAGUUGUAUUUUACGAGUAAUUUUCGAGGACGAAAAUUCUUUAAGUGGGGGAGAGUUGUAACACCCCGAUUUUCGCUAGGAUUAUUUAUUUAUUAUAUUUGUUUAAUUGCUUGUUUGAUGUGUUUGAUUGAGAUUUAGUAGAUUUUUAGACUAGAGGGGUAUUUUGAUCAUUUUAUGACUAAUGUCAUUUUUGAUAAUUUUAGAAUGAAGGGUAUUAUAGUAAUUUUGGGUGUGUGAGGUUAUCUAAUGAAGUUAAUAGUAACUUUGGCAUAAUUAUUAAGAUAGUGGUGUAUGAGUAUUUGGUAGAAGGGUAUUUUAGUAAUUGAUAGAUGAAGGUAAACCUAAGUAUAAAAGGAGGAUUUAGAGGGAGAAGUAGUCAUUUUUUAUAAAAAUUGAGAAAUGAGGUAGAGAGGAGAAAAGAAGAGAUCGAAGAAGAGAGAAAGAAAAGGUUUUGGGAAAGUUAGAGAGGAAGAACAACAAGAUUAACAAAGGAGAGGAACUCAAUGAUUCAUCAAGCCAAGUUAUCAUCAUUUCUCCAAUUCUAGAGUUUCUCAGGUGUUGCGUUUUGGUGUUCGUGUUCCGGUGUAGCCUCGCUCUGAUUUGGACACAUAGGGAGGGUGUAUAGUAUUUCAAUUUUUUUUUAUAUGGUCUAGGUUAAGACAUAAAAAUGUAUAAGCCACUGGUAAAAGAUUUUCAUCUAGUGCAUGUGUAUACUAAUUAAAUUUAUAGCAAUGUAAUUUGGGAAUAGUAAUACCCUAAUUCAUAAUAUUCAUCUAUCUCCAUCCUUAAUUAUUAAUCAAUAAAGUUUUAUUUUUAUCCGCUG